UAUUACAUGGCCUGCUUACCAGUUGAGAAGCAGUCACUUACAAGGCAAGUCUGUGCACAUUCAUUUGCUUGUACAUCAUGAUACAAUAAAAAGGCCUGAGUUCCAUCUCUGUGUGAUACUGAGCAAGCUAGGCUUUUCCUGGGCCUGAGUCAUCUCAUCUUUUCUAGUUCUGGCAUGACCCAAUCCUACCUCCAUUGGCUCGGUGAUCUCAGGUUUCUUACUACCCUGGGCCCCCCGAGGAUCUCUGUUCUCUGAAGGCUGUUUUCUCCUGCCAGCUCACUCAGAGGAUUCAUGAUGACUGUGGUUGCCAUAGGAAUGAUUCAUCUAUCAUAAAGGUGGCUGCGUGAGAUCCCAAAUACUCAAAAGAGACCUAAAAGAGGGGGGAGUGAUAUUCAGAAUCAAGAGACAAAUCCACAAUGAGAGUGGAUGAUAGCUUAAUGAGAGUGGGAGAUAAGGUUUGCGCAUUUUAUUUUCUCUAAUUCUCAUGUGCAUUUGAACUUCUCCAAGAGCAUAAGUGCUGACCCACCGUCCAACUUAUCUACCAUGACCCCUCCCAUUGCUCACUCAAGUCACUUCCUCCACAAAAAUAGAAUGUGGUAUGCAAGCUGCAAGGAAGCAGUCCCUUCCUCGCCAGCUGCUGGAUGAAAAUGGAAGGUCAGGAUAGCCUAGGCUGAUCCUGGACACCAUACCCUGAGUAACUACUGUUGGCUGCUUGUUUAUAAUUCACUUGGCAUUCUAAGCAGGAGCUAGAGACAAUUUUGAAAAGAUUUAGUUUUCUAUGUAGACUGUUUAGUACUUAAACUCACUCUUUUUAUUUUUGAGGUGGACCAUUUGUAUUACUGCCAAUACUUCAAUGGUCAUUUUCUUCUUUUCUCUCCCUCGUAGGAUUUCACAAUAGCCUACACUCCAAUACUCACCCCAGCUCACACCUUAGACUGAGUAUUGAAACUCAGUUGUGAAUUGAUUAUCUUGCCAAUCUUGGUCAUAGUCUAGCCUCCUAUUCCAGCCAUAGAUGGCCAACCCCCCAACCCUAGCCAUGCACAGGACCCUCAUUUAGGCCACAGACAAUCCUGUGGGUGGCCAAAGAGUGACCACCAUUAAUUGGAGUAGGUUAUUUCACAAUGCCCCCAGAAGAGAGCAGAGGAGAGGAGAGGAGUGGUGGCUGGUCAGUGCUAGGGCCACACCUGACUGUGCAUGUCUCUAAGGAUGGGUCAGAGGCAUUUUAUUAUGAAAUACUGUACAUUAAUUUUUAUGGUUUCUUAGCGACAGGAUGCCAAUCAGACAGCUGUAAUCCAAGGAUUAAUUUUCUUUGUUAGGAAGGAGCUAGGAGCAGCAGGGUAGGGUGAGAGAACUUCCCAAGGUGAAAAAGAACUGACAGUGUAGUUUGAGGAUAAGGAAACCAAGCCAGCAGAAGAAGGAACCUCAGAGAGUUUGCUUUUGUUCCUUCAGACUCUUUGAAGCAGGAAUUCACCCUACUGCUGCUAUUGCUGGCUUCUGACUUCUGCCUUAAUUACCACUGUUGAUGGGUCCAAUUUCAAAUUAUAUGGCAUGUUCUUGAAUCACGUACAGAGCUUGUUCUGUGCACAAAACAUUGGCAGUAGAAGAUAAAUCAGGAUAGGAACAACAAGGCUUUGCAGGCUACAUCCCCUAGCAUGUUGGCUGGGUUUUGGAAAUACUGCAAUCACCAAGUCAGGUGGUUAGGUCGCUGAGACAUUACCCUGUGGCUCAUUCCCACUCUUUUGAGCACCUGCAAAUUUAUUACAUAAGAUAUUAUUUUGUACUCAAUUUAAUUAGUUCAAACUAUUUGUAGUCAUUUGAAAUACACUCCAUGUUGAUUAAAAUAAUUAGUGUAGGGCUACUAAAUAUUUACCUAAGAUAUGAAUCCAGGGGGAAUUUGAUAAAUUUAAUUAGCAAGAACUAAUUAUUGUUAUGAUAGGAGUUAAGGUUUAAUAAAUAUAAUUACAGAGCACAAAUGAUGGUUUCUUAAUUAAUAGAUACUAGUUGCAAACACAAGAGCCAUUAUCAUAUUUCCAUGCAGGACAUGGUAUUCAGCACACCUUCUAGAUGUCAACUCUAGCAGCAACGGCAACUUACAAUAAGAAGAGCUAACCCUUGAAAAGUACUUCUGGUGUCAGGCACAGUUCUAAGAGUUUUUAUCGUAUGAAUCCAUUUAUUCUUACAAGCCUCCUGUUGUCCACAUUUUACGUGGAUAGAAACUGAAGCUCAGAAAGGUUAAGUAAUUUUCCUAAGAUUACACAGCUAGGAUGUUGCAGAGCAGCAUUGGAUCCCAUGCAAUUUAGUCAAGCAUCAAUGCCCUUAACUACCAUCCCUCAUGCCUGAACCAAUCAACCAAACAACAAAAGUAAAAUCAGAAAGAGUGGGGUUGGCAUAUGCACACUGUGAUAUAUGGAAUGACUGACCUAUGUGGUCCUGCUGUAGAGCACAGGGAACUCUACCCAAUAUUCUGUGAUAAUUUCUAUGGGAAAAAAAUCUGAAAAAGCAUGGAUGUGCGGAUAUGUAUAAUUGAAUCACUUUGUUGUACAGAAGAAAUUACACAACAUUGUAAGACACCUAUCCUUCAAUAAAACAUUUAAUUUUAGCUUAGUUUAGUUUGUAUAAUGAUUUUUUCCAUUAUAGCUGGUUUACAGUGUUCUGUCAAUUUUCUACUGUAUAGCAAGGUGACCCAGUUACACAUACAUGUAUACAUUCUUUUUUCUCACGUUGUCAUGCUUCAUCAUAAGUGACUAGACAUAGUUCCCAGUGCUACACAGCAGGAUCUCACUAUUAACCCAUUCCAAAGGCAAUAGUCUGCAUCUAUUAACCCCAAGCUCCCCAUCCAUCCCACUCCCUCCCGCAAUAAGACAUUUUUAAACAGUUUUAAAAUGCACAACCAAAAAAACAGGAGAUGUGAAUGUUCGAUGUCAAAAGGUCAACAGCUGAAAUCCUCAACUCUACUUUGUUAUUCAAGUAUAAUAGACUCAUGCUAUUGCAGAUAUUUACACAAUUUUGGAGAGUCUAAAGAGACCCUGAAGGCACCUGGCCUUUUGUCAUCUAUAAUUUCGCUGAGGCUCAGAUGUGGAAAGGCUGAGGUGCUUAAACUUAUGAGUAGUGAGCCUAGCUACAUGUUUAGAGCUUCAUUCCAAGAGUGCUUCCCUAUCUGGCUCACUCCGCACACACAUUAUUGGGGAAUUUUCUAUCAUCAUGGCAUUUGCAAGUUUGGAGAAUCAAGAGAGUAUCAGGAAUCCACUGAUCCACUGUGUAACAAACUACUGAAGUACAGUUUGUACUUCAACUAAUCACGGACAUGCACCUCAUUCAGUUUAGGAUAUUUAAUGCUAAGAAUCCUUCCAAAAAUGCUCCUGAAUCACUGCCUAUCUGAUCACAAGCAUAGCAGGUUCCGUAUGUUCAGGCCCUGAUAUAUUGCACUCCUAUUAGAAAAGGCCUUUCUUCAAGAGGGUCUGGCUCAUUUCUAAUAUGAUAGGGCUUGAGUGAUGUAUGCGAACUCUGUUCAUGAAUUCACAGGCAAUGCACUGACUCUCCCAUCACACUCCCCUUGCUGCCAGGGAUAUAUCUGUAAGGACAAUGACUCUUAUCUAGGGACAAGUACAUAAGGCAAUCCAUGUCAAUGAACCCACUAUAGCACUCGAGCUAUAUUCAGCAUUGGUUGCAUAUUUUCCAAUAUUUGUAAUAAAUGAAGAACUAAAAACUUUGGCGUCAGUGACCAGGAUCCCGUUGCAGGCUGGUGUUUCAGGAUGCCCAGUGGAACAGCCUCCCAUGUGCUUCUCCAUCCACAUGGUCGGAGGAGCCAUAAGUGGGUCAGAUAUGAAAAUCAUUGAUUGUAGAUCCCAAAUGAGAGCCAUUUCAGGAGGAAACAGAUCAGGACCCUGACAUAGAUUACACAUCCCUAGGGCCUCCAAGGACAGCCUGACUUGGAGAGAUCAGUUUCCUAAGUAGAUUAUUUGACAGCAACGUGCAUGAAGAGGAAUGUUUCCACGUGGAAACAUCGGCUGUAUUCUUCACACUCUGCAUUUGUGUCCCUUGCUCUGUCCAGACCAGAAGUCUCUCCUUCAGCCCCCUGGUCUGGGUAGUCUUGCAAAUCAGCAGCUUCUUCAAGAGGAAGAUCAGAUUUAGGGGUAGGUUGCACCACAAGUUAAUCUUUCAGAAAUACACCCAUGCUGGCUUGUUUCUAAAGUUCCUCAAGGUCACUCAUGCAGCCCACCUUAACUGUAAUGGAGAGAAAUCUCUAUAAACUUUCCCUAGGUUCUGUGCUGAAUCAUACAGCAGUGACAUUUUCCCUUGGUCACAUGCUCCUAUCUACUGUUCAACGGGAGCUCAACUCAUGGAAGGGAAUACUGAUGAGUCAGUCCCAGGAUGACGCUCACUGCAUGUUUAAUGGGAGACUCUUCCUGACCUUGAUACAGUUUCACACAACAGGUGACAAGUCAGUGCCUCAUUCUAUGCCCCACUACACACAAAUUUUGGCCACACAAUCUUAUCCAAGGAUUGAUGAAAGUUGGUCAUUUUGUUAUAAUGGGGGAGGUCUGUGGAUAUCAAUAAAACUGGCAUCCUAAGUGAGAACUAAGUGAGAUCCAAGAUGGAAAGUGAAUUGAGGCAGGCCUAGACCUCAAAUCUUCUCAUUUCAACUCAGGGCUCCUUCCAUUGUGUGCAAAAUGAUGAACAUCAUCUCUCUAGAAUAUAUGUCCUGCAGGCGUCACUAAUUGUCAUUUUGAAAUCUGGACAAUGUUCGGAAUAUGUGAUUUAGCUUCUUCCAAAAUGAUUGAAUUAUUCACAUUAGCUACAGGAAACAAGACUAUUAGACUCAAUGAAAGCUAGAGCUUUCCUAGAGUCUUUUCCUAGAAGAGUUUGAUUGGCAGCUGUCAUAGGCGCGGUCCCCAGAUCCCAGCAUAUAUUCUUCCCCAGUGUCCCUCACAUCAAGAUUUCUUCCCUUGUGCCUUUGGGACCUUGGGGAGUGUCACAGCUUCACUCAUGGGACAAACGGAUAAUUUUUAUCAGGAACGUGAAAGAACAGCAUUAAGGGGAGUUUGCAAAAACCCAGACUAAGACUCAUGGCUUUCUAUUCAAAGUGGAGUUAUGGAAGAUCUGGAUUGGUGCCAAAAAGCAGAACCAGCCUAGGAAUCACCUCCCUCAGGCUCAUAUUUGUUUUGAAGAAAUGGCAUUUCUCCCUCUGGUCAAUCCUGAAACACAGUUUAAUCUAAGGGGAGCAUCAUGGGAGGGGGAAAAAAAAAGAGGAUGAGAAAAACCAAUAAAUAGUAAUAACAGGAAGCAGGAAAAGAUAGGCCUGGAUGUGCAAUUCUUUUUGUGCCUGUUAAAUGAACUCUGGUGGGGAUGAGGAGAGAGAAUUAUCCUAUUUAUAUAUUGAAAGGAAUUUUAAAUAUGCAUAGGCAGGGAGAGAGGAUCCACAGAGAUUGAAAUGCAAAACACAGCAUGGUCUGUGCUUCUCCCCUUCUAUCUCCCAGUACCAUUAGCAAGUUCCUUGCACCAAUUUCUGGAAAGCUCCUUCUCAAACUCAGAGCCCUGCCUUCUGCUGACUCAGCAUUUCUAUCUUAGAAAAGCAAUUCUAUUUUUACAAAGAAAUGGGCCUUCCCUUGCAAAACACUUUGCAAACGAACUCAUACAGGAACAGAGCUCACAUCUCUACACUGAUGCACACACACACAUCCACCCAACCCAUUAACACACAGACACACACAAACACACAUAUACACACACAUAGUACAACACCUCCAUCUCCACCAUAACCUCCAGGCUGCUUAGCACUAGGGUUUUAGAUAUUGUAGGUUCAUAACAUGCACAUGGAAAGAAACGGUGUUGUCAUGCAGGGAGCCGUGGGAGCGUGAUUAAAAGGCAUGGGAAAGGUCAUCAUUCAACUGAUCACAGUCCCUUCGGGAACAAGUCAAAGACAGAAAACUGGCCAUAUUUCCUCAUUCAUAUACUUCACAUUGAAGAGGGAAUCUUUUGUCACACAUAAAUCUCUCCUUCCUCACAAAAUCUCCCCUCUCACUGUCCCCACCAAGCACAUGUUACCACUCCUAAAACAGCAAGAGAUACUUUCCUCAGUGGCUUCAAUGAGGGACAAAUAAAUCCUUGAGUAGCUGCUGCUGGCUCCCCUAUCACAGACUGACACACCCUAAGUCCCAAGCCAAAGUCCUGAGAGAAAGAGGAAUUGCUAAAUUAAAACAAGACUUUUGUCAAUCGUCCUAAUUGUUCUCCACUCCCAGUCUCUCCCUUCUCUGCAUCUGCCAGGAUCACACAAAGCCCUUGGCCCUCUUCAGGUCUGUUGAUUUACAGAAUUCAGUCACUGACCUGGGUAUUACUUUGGGAAAGUUGCCAUUCUCUGGUUACGUAUAGGAGAGGAUCUUGGCCAUUCACCAAAACCCAGGAAGAUGCCCUUUGCCAAAUUCCUGACCUGCUUGCAGGCCCAGUCACAUUCUGCAGGGCUUGCCUGGCUAAUACCUCCUUAUCCUUUUAAGUAUACCAUCACUUUCUCUCGAAAUCUGGCUCUGCUACUUCCCUCCUGACGUUUGCAUCUUUGCAGUUUGGAAGGGAGCGGGUUGCAAGGAAAGGAAAGAUAACCAAUUUCCAUGCUGAGGUUCUGAGACAUGAGGGUUUUGGCAUUUCUAUGGGAAUCCAGUGAUGAGAUGUAGUGAACAGCUGGCUCUUUGGGCCUGGAUAUCAGGGCAGAAAACAGGUUCAGAAACAACCUUGUGAAUUCCCCUGAAGGCACUGGCAUUGAGGAAGUCCCCAGGGGUAGCCCAGGGUUGAUGCAGCCCCGGGAACCCACCCUUCAGAGGGCUGAUGCCACACACGGAGAACAGAGAUGAAGUCAGUUCUAUGUGAAGAGUUUUCAGCAGGCCCAGAUUCAGAAAUACCAGGACAAAUCAUCAUCACUGUAAUUACGUUAAUGUAACAUUUCUCACUGAGAAUCCAGCGAAGUGCUUACAUCAACAUUAAGCUUUCAGGCAAUCAAAGACCGAAUUUUCAAAAGCCUGAAAAUGGUAUUAAUGUGUGAAAAACC
rnacentral:lncRNA from 1 species